rnacentral:sRNA from 1 species
AGGUAACACACUCCCAAGAUCGCACGAGCUCAAUAAUGACUGCACUGCUGAACAAUGAUCAACAGACACCUCGCCGCACAACGUGCAGUCUAGCAAUACCUGAAAAGUCCAUGAUCCAAGAUAAUACUACUCCUUCCAUCAUUAGACGUGAAUUCUGUAGCCUGCCAUCCAUCCCGUCACAUCUCAACUAAACCUUCUUAUUUUCCCGUAACCUAAGGAGCUCUAGGUGCCGCUUUUGGCCAUCCAAUCCCUCUUGGCUCCCAGUCCCUCCUCUUCCUAUACUUCAGGUCGUCCGGCGACACAGCCCCUAAUGUUGGCUGAGGAGGCACUGGCCCAUAUGUGGUCUCAAGGAGCCCUUGCUUGAUGCCCGCAUUGCUCAGACCUUCGUUCAAUGCAAACCAAGGCUGACCUGGGAAAUACGGAUCAGUACUUUUCAAGAAGUUGGCGUAUUUGUUAUCCGGAUCACCGUAUUUGGCAGAUAUAACAGCGACAACGGGGUUAAGAGAUUUUCUUUGAUUUGAUUCAUUCGAGGUGGUGUAAUUCUGAAGCAUCGCGUAGUGGACGGCGUCAACUAUGGUGGUGUUCGCUGCACUUCGGCGUUCCCAUGCAGAUGGUGAUAAGCCAACAAAGUCACCAAACUGUGCGUUCGUAACAAGAGCCAUAAGAUUGAAAGCUCGAUAAUGAACUUUUCAAGAGCAGUGGCACAUGCGUCAUUCUGGUUCAGAAGAACAUUAAGAGCGCACACCUGGUUCACGGCAAAAGUACCGUGAUUGCUAAAAGAUUGAUCAGUACACGUGAUAUCGUAUGCGAAGAGAAUGGCCCACUUUAUAGAGCUCAACUCUGCGAGACCCUGCUUACUAGUGUAAAGCCAAUCCAGCUGCUCCGAAGCCCAUUGCAUCAUCCCAGUCUCGGUCUCUUGCUGCCAUUCCGCUGGCUUAAUUGACCGCAUGACUUGCACGCCACUGACAAUCUUCGC